UAAGGAAUAUUGGUCAAUGGACGAAAGUCUGAACCAGCCAUGCCGCGUGGAGGAUGAAGGUCCUCUGGAUUGUAAACUUCUUUUAUCUGGGACGAAAAAAGGUCUUUCUAGAUCGUCUGACGGUACCAGAUGAAUAAGCACCGGCUAACUCCGUGCCAGCAGCCGCGGUAAUACGGAGGGUGCAAGCGUUAUCCGGAUUCACUGGGUUUAAAGGGUGCGUAGGUGGGUUGGUAAGUCAGUGGUGAAAUCUUCGAGCUUAACUCGGAAACUGCCAUUGAUACUAUCAGUCUUGAAUAUUGUGGAGGUUAGCGGAAUAUGUCAUGUAGCGGUGAAAUGCUUAGAUAUGACAUAGAACACCAAUUGCGAAGGCAGCUGGCUACACAUAUAUUGACACUGAGGCACGAAAGCGUGGGGAUCAAACAGGAUUAGAUACCCUGGUAGUCCACGCCCUAAACUAUGGAUACUCGACAUACGCGAUACACUGUGUGUGUCUGAGCGAAAGCAUUAAGUAUCCCCACCU
rnacentral:rRNA from 1 species